rnacentral:lncRNA from 1 species
AAACUUACUCGAUGUUUCUGUCAUUUUCUAAUCUUGGAGCUAGGGGGACUUAAGGAAUCAUGUCAACACACCGUCAACAAACACUUAAGUAUAGUUUUGAGGACACACUUGUUUUGUCAUCUUUGGUCUUUGUAUUUCUUUGCCGAUGUCAAUUUAUCUUUUGGAUAUUUUUGGUUAUUUUUAACAUUGAUGUUUUCCAAUAAUUUUAUUUUAUUUCUUUACGCACUUUGACCAUCAAUUGUAC